AAAUUGAAGAGUUUGAUCAUGGCUCAGAUUGAACGCUGGCGGCAGGCCUAACACAUGCAAGUCGAACGGUAACAGGAAGCAGCUUGCUGCUUUGCUGACGAGUGGCGGACGGGUGAGUAAUGUCUGGGAAACUGCCUGAUGGAGGGGGAUAACUACUGGAAACGGUGGCUAAUACCGCAUAACGUCGCAAGACCAAAGAGGGGGACCUUCGGGCCUCUUGCCAUCAGAUGUGCCCAGAUGGGAUUAGCUAGUUGGUGAGGUAACGGCUCACCAAGGCGACGAUCCCUAGCUGGUCUGAGAGGAUGACCAGCCACACUGGAACUGAGACACGGUCCAGACUCCUACGGGAGGCAGCAGUGGGGAAUAUUGCACAAUGGGCGCAAGCCUGAUGCAGCCAUGCCGCGUGUAUGAAG
rnacentral:rRNA from 1 species